CGUUCGUUUCCAUUUUGAAUUACUUGUAAUUCAUAAAUGACAUAAAGUCAGGCUCAGGCUCACUUUUACAGUUUUACUUGAUUCGACAAAUUACCCAGCCACUAAUUUCCUGGUUUUGAGAGUAGUUUUGGACUAAUGACUCUCUUAGAUCGUUGAUUGUGAAAUUGUGACUUUGAGUGAUGUAAUCACGGAGUCAUGGAGCAGCCAUUGAUGAAAGAAAACGAUUAUAGAUUAGACAAGGGUCAACCUAAAUUCUGCAGGCACGCACUUGCUUCCUUUGAAAGAAAGGCGUUUAAUAAUCAAAAUUCCAACUCAUUCUUGUUCUUUAGUCGGUUCAAUAUGUUAGCAUCACAGAAAGGAGGAUAUAUGAUGCAGAAAUCAUCUGUCAUUCAGUUCAACUUUACCACUUCAAUUUAAACAUUUUCCUUUCCUUUAGCCAAGGACAUGAUCAAUGCCUUCUCCAAGUCUUCAGCUACACGUCUUUGAAUCAUGGAGAUUGCAUACUCCAUGAAAUUUGAAUCACAAGGUAGCAUAAUUGGCCCUGAACUUGCUACUCCAAACUCUUCUUCAGCGAUUUUGAACAGCUCUCUGAAGAUUUCGGAUUUUUUUUCCAAAGUAAGCUUUAUUAUAAAACUAUUUUGUAAAGUAGACUCGUGACCAAACUAUUUACCAAACUAAACUUCUAGGGUAAAAUGCUGUCUCACACAGCGUAUUAUACCC